UACAGAGGGUGCGAGCGUUAAUCGGAUUUACUGGGCGUAAAGCGUGCGUAGGCGGCUUUUUAAGUCGGAUGUGAAAUCCCCGAGCUUAACUUGGGAAUUGCAUUCGAUACUGGGAAGCUAGAGUAUGGGAGAGGAUGGUAGAAUUCCAGGUGUAGCGGUGAAAUGCGUAGAGAUCUGGAGGAAUACCGACGGCGAAGGCAGCCAUCUGGCCUAAUACUGACGCUGAGGUACGAAAGCAUGGGGAGCAAACAGG
rnacentral:rRNA from 1 species